UACACUUGAAAAAUCUAUGCAUGACUACACACUAGACAAACACAGCCAACGUGAAUACAUCUAAAUUUUCAACGGUGAGCCCACAUCUAC